rnacentral:rRNA from 1 species
UUAGGAAUUUUGCGCAAUGGGGGAAACCCUGACGCAGCAACGCCGCGUGAGUGAUGAAGGCCUUCGGGUUGUAAAACUCUUUUGGUAGGGAAGAAAAAAAUGACGGUACCUACUGAAUAAGCACCGGCUAACUCUGUGCCAGCAGCCGCGGUAAUACAGAGGGUGCAAGCGUUAUUCGGAAUUAUUGGGCGUAAAGGGCGCGUAGGCGGUCUUUUAAGUCUGAUGUGAAAUCCCUGGACUCAAUCCAGGAAGUGCAUUGGAUACUACUAGACUAGAGGGCAGGAGAGGAGAGCGGAAUUCCAGGUGUAGAGGUGAAAUUCGUAGAUAUCUGGAGGAACAACAGAGGCGAAGGCGGCUCUCUGGACUGCAUCUGACGCUGAAGCGCGAAAGCGUGGGGAGCAAACAGG